UCGGACGUAGUGCACGGUUCACACCCGCUUUCCAUUACAACGCGGCCUCGAAAAUAUGCGGUGGGAAACCCGGGUUCGACUCCCGGCGUCCGAA